AAUGAACGCUGGCGGUAGGCCUAACACAUGCAAGUCGAACGGCAGCACAGUAAGAGCUUGCUCUUACGGGUGGCGAGUGGCGGACGUGUGAGGAAUACAUCGGAAUCUACUUUUUCGUGGGGGAUAACGAAGGGAAACUUACGCUAAUACCGCAUACGACCUACCGGUGAAAGCGGUGGAUCUUCGGACCUUGCGUGAUUGAAUGAGCCGAUGUCGGAUUUGCUAGUUGGGUGGGGAAAGGCCCACCUAGGCGACGGUACGUAUCCGGUGUGUGAGGCUGGUAGCCCGCACUGGAGCGUGACCAGCGUCCUGAGUCCUGCGGGAGGCAGCAGUGGGGAAUAUUGGACAAUGGGGGCAAGCCUGAUCCAGCCAUACCGCGUGGGUGGAGGAGGCCUUCGGGUUGUAAAGCCCUUUUGUGGGGAAAGAAAAGCAGCAGGUUAAUACCACGCUGUUCUGACGGUACCCAAAGAAUAAGCACCGGCUAACUUCGUG
rnacentral:rRNA from 1 species